UUCCGACCUGAGCUCAGUUGUGAUUACCUGCUGAACUUAAGCAUAUCAGUAAGCAGAGGAAAAGAAACUAACCAGGAUUCC
rnacentral:rRNA from 1 species